GCGUUGGGCCGGUCACUGGUCCGUGAGGUCAGAUCUGGUCUGUCCACGGUGGACUGGUCUCUGCUCCAGCUCUUAUAACGCCAACGAGGAGCUCUGAUGCUCCUCCUUACCCCUCCCUCCCCUCGGUGAGUCAGCUGUCCUCCCCCACAACACUUCAUCAGCACUUUGCCUCCGUCAUGGUCUGCAGUGCAGACAGAAGGCUUCUCACACCUUCCUCUUUGUUUCAGCUUUGUUUCAUCUGUUGCUUUAACACUCAUCCAGUGCUCCUGCUGCUCCUCACUCUCUCCUCAUUCCUCCUCCCUCUCCCUCCGGUUCAGUUAUAUCGGCUUCUGAUUUCUGGGUUGUGACCCACUUUUCAGCAGCUGACGUUGUUCUGUUCUGGUUCGGUACUGAGAAUCCUUCAGAUGAAGCAACACUUCUGAUUCAGUCGAGCCUCAUGACUGAAACAAUGAGAGCUAUAAAAUGUAAAGAUUACAUGAAUAGAAAAGGCUGAAUUCAUUUCCAGCUUGGGUUUUUACAUUUUGUGGCUUCUCUGUCUUUAGUGCAGGUAAAUAUUUGGUUUUAUUGCGAAACAUCUGGACUCUGGACGGACUGGGACUUUAGACAGAAGUCAAUAAACACGCCUCACUUUCCAGAGACCUGAUUGGUUGUUGGUGGAGUGACCCUGGUUACACGGGAGGGACUGGAUUCUAUUUCAUUGCUCUCUGGCGUGAAUUCGGGUACGUCUCAGCUUUGUUUGAGUCUCCAGGUUCCAGUCGAAAACAUGGGCUCUGGAAGCUCCUGUGAAUACUCACAAGAGAUUUAUGACAGCUGUGCUCUCAAUAUUUAUGAAAGAGCCUUACGGGAAACAUGUAUCAUUCCAGAUGUGGGCCUAGACCGGUCUCUGCUGAAGUAUUCUGGUUUGAACUCCAACGCUGAGCUGCAGACCUACUCCGAUGGUCUGGUCAAUCAGAUUCCAGAAUACGUUGAGAAGUUGGGAUCUAGUUUGAGUUCGACUUUAUUCCCAAAUGCUGUUGGACUCGGAGCAUUGAUGAUUUCCAUGAUCAUAGAUAUUUCCAUGAAGAGCCACGUUGCAACUUCUGAUGAUUCAUACAGCAAGUUCCUGCAGGCAUUUGGUGAAGAGAAGGCCUCAGCAGUCCGGGACACUGUGUCGGAGUAUGUGAAGCGCCAUCAGAUGUACCUGACUGAUAACCGACACCUACAGGGUGAACUAGCGAGACUGGAGAGACAGCUGAGCAACCAUCUCACCAUCCUCAGAAACUCCCUGCUGCUUGACGGACAGAUGAGGAGCCGUGGGUUGAAGAUCUGGGUGAACGGAGCCUCCUUCCACGUCCAGAUGUUGAUCCAUGAGGCUCGACUGAAUCAGAAGACUGGCAUCAGUUCGAAGGACUAUGUUCAUGUCAUCCAAGCUGCCCUCACUACGUAUCUACAGGACCUGGAUCAGCUGCUGGAGAAACACAGGAAGGACUUCGCCGGUCAUACUGCUGUCGGUCAUGAAAUGAAUUGCGGUGGUGACAAUAGUUGUCUUUCUGGACCGAUGUCCGUAUGUUCUUUACAAAACCUUAACCUUACGUGUUUACUUCAACUACAACCAGCUGGAAAAGACCUCUGCAUCAGCACUUCUAAUUAUCAAGUGUACGGCUCUGGUGGAACUUUAGACCACAACACUAAACAAUUGUCAGAUUCUUUUAUUAAUCAUAUUUUCUCAAAACAUCCACCACUCGCAGGUUUAAAGAGCCAUUUUUCAAACAUCAAGAACAAUCUAAACUAUUACAUCAACCAACAUGAUGAAUUCACUCUGCCAUCAGCCCGUUAAGUUGUUGUGAGGUUUUAAAGUUAAUAAUUAACAGCAGCGCAUGUUGUCAGUGUUUUGUAUCUAAAAUCAUGUGAUAUUUUUAACACACAAUGAACGCAGAAAGACAUUUGAUUUAAUGUUUUCUUUUAAUUCUUAAGCCAAACCAGCAUGUUUCAUAUUGUUCAGCAUCAUUUCUCUUCAUUUUCAUGUAUUAAAUACAAAGUGCAUUCAACCCUUUGUGGACGUGUUUAACAGGAUAAAUGUUUUUCCAUUUACAGAUGAGGCGUUAUGCGUCAAAUUCUUACUAUGUGUUCAACAUAAAUGAAGUGAAUCCAGUGACUGGAUGGUGCGUCACUCAGCUGGAAGUAGUACAGAUACUCACAGUCACUCGGCGCUGUGAGGAGGGAGCUUCUUGUGAAGUGAACUCCAUCAGCGUGCUGCCACCAUGUGGUUCACAUAUUCACUUACACCACCCAGCGCCCCACACUGAAUAUCUGUAAUCUGUGACCAUGAGAUGAUUCAGCCUGAAGCAUGUCCAGGACUUCCAGAGGGACGCAGGACAUGUGGUGCUCAGGUCCAUUUAUUGGUUGUCACGUCCUCUGAGCCACUAGAGGUGUGUUCAUCUGGGAACACAUUCACUGUAAAACACCACAGACAAGACGAAGCACCAGACAAACAGAGACAGAGGGACGGACGGGGGACAGGUGGACAUUGCGAGUCACAUGUUGGGACAUUCUCUGUCACGACUUCGUAUGUAUGAUCAGGGCUCCAGACUAACUCUUCUCACUGGGAGCACAGUGGCCCCUAACUUAACAUUUAGGGGCGCACGCUAUAAAUCGACUCGUCCCACCAUUUUUACUGUAUUACUGAUAAAUAAGUUUAUAAGAAACUUGUGCAAUAGUUUUAAUAACAUACACCAGUUAUACAGCUUACAAAUACAAAAUGAAUAUUUAU
ensembl:lncRNA